rnacentral:rRNA from 1 species
AGAGUUUGAUCCUGGCUCAGGAUGAACGCUGGCGGCGUGCCUAAUACAUGCAAGUCGAGCGAACGGACGAGAAGCUUGCUUCUCUGAUGUUAGCGGCGGACGGGUGAGUAACACGUGGAUAACCUACCUAUAAGACUGGGAUAACUUCGGGAAACCGGAGCUAAUACCGGAUAAUAUUUUGAACCGCAUGGUUCAAAAGUAAAAGACGGUCUUGCUGUCACUUAUAGAUGGAUCCGCGCUGCAUUAGCUAGUUGGUAAGGUAACGGCUUACCAAGGCAACGAUGCAUAGCCGACCUGAGAGGGUGAUCGGCCACACUGGAACUGAGACACGGUCCAGACUCCUACGGGAGGCAGCAGUAGGGAAUCUUCCGCAAUGGGCGAAAGCCUGACGGAGCAACGCCGCGUGAGUGAUGAAGGUCUUCGGAUCGUAAAACUCUGUUAUUAGGGAAGAACAUAUGUGUAAGUAACUGUGCACAUCUUGACGGUACCUAAUCAGAAAGCCACGGCUAACUACGUGCCAGCAGCCGCGGUAAUACGUAGGUGGCAAGCGUUAUCCGGAAUUAUUGGGCGUAAAGCGCGCGUAGGCGGUUUUUUAAGUCUGAUGUGAAAGCCCACGGCUCAACCGUGGAGGGUCAUUGGAAACUGGAAAACUUGAGUGCAGAAGAGGAAAGUGGAAUUCCAUGUGUAGCGGUGAAAUGCGCAGAGAUAUGGAGGAACACCAGUGGCGAAGGCGACUUUCUGGUCUGUAACUGACGCUGAUGUGCGAAAGCGUGGGGAUCAAACAGGAUUAGAUACCCUGGUAGUCCACGCCGUAAACGAUGAGUGCUAAGUGUUAGGGGGUUUCCGCCCCUUAGUGCUGCAGCUAACGCAUUAAGCACUCCGCCUGGGGAGUACGACCGCAAGGUUGAAACUCAAAGGAAUUGACGGGGACCCGCACAAGCGGUGGAGCAUGUGGUUUAAUUCGAAGCAACGCGAAGAACCUUACCAAAUCUU